rnacentral:misc_RNA from 1 species
AGCAGCCGCGGUAAUUCCAGCUCCAAUAGCGUAUAUUAAAGUUGUUGCAGUUAAAAGCUCGUAGUUGAAUUUCGGAAUCUGUCCGUCGGUCGGGCUUCACUGUCCGUACUGGUGUGGUGGGUUCUUACCUUCUGAAUAACCAGCAUGCCAUUCACUUGGUGCGUUGGGGAAGCAGGACUAUUACCUUGAAAAAUUGAGUGCUCAAAGCAGGCCAGUGCCUGAAUACAUUAGCAUGGAAUAAUAAAAUAGGACGGCAUGGUUCUAUUUUGUUGGUUUCUAGGAUCACCGUAAUGAUUAAUAGGGAUAGUUGGGGGCAUUAGUAUUCAAUUGUCAGAGGUGAAAUUCUUGGAUUUAUUGAAGACUAACUUCUGCGAAAGCAUUUGCCAAGGAUGUUUUCAUUAAUCAAGAACGAAAGUUAGGGAUCGAAGACGAUCAGAUACCGUCGUAGUCUUAACAU